CCCCUUUCAGGAUUGCAUCCGGAGAGUUUCCAUUACUCUAUCAGUUUCGGCUACAGGAGGGAGAGUCAAGCAGAGGCAUACCCAUUCCACUCCUAGCUUGGGCAGUGGCUUGCAAGUGGAAGGCAAUCUGCUACAAGU